rnacentral:rRNA from 1 species
UUCGCAAUGCCCGAAAGGGUGACGAAGCGACGCCGCGUGCAGGUAGAAGGCCUUCGGGUUGUAAACCGCUGUCGGGAGUUAAGAAAUGCAAGGGUGUUAAUAGCGCCCUUGCUUGACUAAGGCUCCGGAGGAAGCCACGGCUAACUCUGUGCCAGCAGCCGCGGUAAUACAGAGGCGGCAAGCGUUGUUCGGAAUUAUUGGGCGUAAAGAGCACGUAGGCGGCCGUGUAAGUCGGUUGUGAAAGCCUUCCGCUCAACGGGAGAACGGCAUCCGAUACUGCAUGGCUCGAGUGCGGGAGGGGAGAGUGGAACUUCUGGUGGAGCGGUGAAAUGCGUAGAUAUCAGAAGGAACACCGGCGGCGAAGGCGACUCUCUGGCCCGUAACUGACGCUGAGUGUGCGAAAGCUAGGGGAGCAAACGGGAUUAGAUACCCCGGUAGUCCUAGCCGUAAACGAUGGGCACUAAGUAGAGGGGUUUU